rnacentral:rRNA from 1 species
AUUGAACGCUGGCGGCAGGCCUAACACAUGCAAGUCGAACGGUAACAGGAAGCAGCUUGCUGCUUCGCUGACGAGUGGCGGACGGGUGAGUAAUGUCUGGGAAACUGCCUGAUGGAGGGGGAUAACUACUGGAAACGGUAGCUAAUACCGCAUAACGUCGCAAGACCAAAGAGGGGGACCUUAGGGCCUCUUGCCAUCGGAUGUGCCCAGAUGGGAUUAGCUAGUAGGUGGGGUAACGGCUCACCUAGGCGACGAUCCGUAGCUGGUCUGAGAGGAUGACCAGCCACACUAGAACGGAGACACGGUCCAGACUCCUACGGGAGGCAGCAGUGGGGAAUAUUGCACAAUGGGCGCAAGCCUGAUGCAGCGAUGCCGCGUGUAUGAAGAAGGCCUUCGGGUUGUAAAGUACUUUCAGCGGGGAGGAAGGGAGUAAAGUUAAUACCUUUGCUCAUUGACGUUACCCGCAGAAGAAGCACCGGCUAACUCCGUG